AGCUUCAGAGUCUAAAAGCUGUGUCAUCGGGCUGUUUUUAGUAUUUAUGCUGCUCCUUCUUCAGCUCUAGAUGAACCAACAUAAUGGGAUUGGAAGUGAGAUUGAAUUUCAGCAGCACAGUCUCUAUAUUGUUUUUGAUGUCUUUAUGUUAUCUUUCCUUUGUUCUCUCGUCUUUUUUUUGUUUCUGUGGCAGUAAAACUUUCUCACACUGCCACUGUUCCAGGACAGAGGGCUGAAAAGAGGAGGUAACUGAAGUACUAAAGUCCUUAUAUAUAACUAAUAAGAAUCUUCAGUGUUCUGCUCUUUGCUUUUGGUUAAAUACAUAUGAAUAUAUGUAUUUAUAUAUGUAUAUAAAUUGCAUAUGUAAGUCUUUGCUAAAAAAGUGGAACACAAUUAUUUCAACAUUCCCUAUGAAAACUGCUAAUUUUGCUUUAUUUUUCAAAACUGUCAUUAUUUUCCUUGGAACAGCAAUGUAGAAAAAUACCUACAGGGGCUGAUGACCAAGUAACUGCUUCAGGUUAUUAUCCAUUGUGGGGCAGCUACAUAAAUCACACAAAUGAUCAGCUGAAAGCAGUGACAUAAAUAAAUCAGUAUAGUUGUAUAAUAUAGAGAGCAUAACGCUGUGUGGCUGAUUUUUGCUCUUGUGUAUUGUGAUUAAAUUUCUUUUGUUCAUGAUCUGGCAGGGUUUUGAGAAGGUGGGAGUUUCUACUUCCAAGGGCAGCAGCUGUUCAAACUGUUGCUAUCUGCUGUUCAUUUCCACUUCAGAGGUGAAGGCUGCUAUCUUUGUACUUCUUGAUAAUUAUGCAUAGAUCCUGAAGCUCAUGUACAUACAAUAGCACCAACUAGUGGGACUGCUGUGAAGACCAUAUUUGGAAUAUAGCAGGUACAACAUGACUGGAAAGGCUUAAGUGGAGUAAUAAAAUAAUAAGGUUUUUGUGCACAAAGACAUGUAUACUCCACAGAUUACUGCAUGCUUGAGUAAACUCUAGAUUAAUAUCGCUUCCAACUUGCUGUACACUUUCUCUAGGCAUUUUCUUUCAGAUACUGGAAGUGGGUUACAUAGACUGGUUUCAUUUGGUGUGGCUAUCUGAGAAGGAAUUCUGCAGCGUAUCCAAGGGGGCAGGGGCUGUGGCAUGUGAUGUGUAAAGAGAGGCUGAAGCAGCUGGUUCAUUUUUGCCUCAAGAGACAGAAUUUACAGGGGCUUCUUACUGCCAUCUUCAACUCUUGAAGGUAUUUGCACAAAAGCAAAUAUUUUGAAAGGUAAUGAACACAAGCUGCAGCAAGGGUAGUUCUAAAUAAAUGCAAGAAAAUAAUCGUUCUCAGCAUUCCCAUUUGCAGAUGAUCCUGCUGUUCAGAGGCUCAUCACCCCCUUGGCAUAUUGCCUUCUUCAGGUUCCUCAGCAGUCAUGCCUUGGUAAGGACAGCACUGUGCAGGCCAACCACUUCAGCAGAGCCAGAAUAAGACAUUUUGCCUGACAAAUACUGCUGGGGCUAACUCCUCGUAUCUGUGUUAGAAUUCAAAAAUGUAUAGAGAAAGACAACAGCAACUAAAUUAAUGCAGAGGAAUUGCAAUGUCAUGCAUUACUUAUGUAAGGAUUUUCCAGAGAAGAAUCAUGCAACUUAAAGUACAGGUGAACAGGAAGUGACUCACUAUUUAUCUUAAUAGUAGGCUGAAUGACUUAAAAGGAUGACAAUUUUGUUGGUAAAAUAUAAUAUCUUUACAGGACACAAUUAAAUCUUGUUGUUUGUUGCAAGAUUUUAGGGUUGGUGAGGUAUUAAA